rnacentral:rRNA from 1 species
CGGACGGGUGAGUAAUGCCUAGGAAUCUGCCUGGUAGUGGGGGAUAACGUUCCGAAAGGAAACGCUAAUACCGCAUACGUCCUACGGGAGAAAGCAGGGGACCUUCGGGCCUUGCGCUAUCAGAUGAGCCUAGGUCGGAUUAGCUAGUUGGUGAGGUAAUGGCUCACCAAGGCGACGAUCCGUAACUGGUCUGAGAGGAUGAUCAGUCACACUGGAACUGAGACACGGUCCAG